rnacentral:misc_RNA from 1 species
CGUCGGCGGCGUGGGCGGGGACGCGGUAGGUGCAGAGAGCGCGACCGGCCUCGAUUAGCGAGACUGAUAGCGGCGACAUGAGGAUGAAGUCGAAGGGACCUCCGGAGACACUGUGUUUACCGGUAACACGGUGGCUCUCCAGCCACUUUCUCGCCUCGGCAGGCGUCUCCGCCUCGGCAGCCAUCUCCGCCACGGCAAAAG